UUCAAUCCUACUUCUUUUGACAUCUCAAUCUCUGAGAAGGCCUUGUCUUCAUUAUCUGAAAAGGAAGGGCACCUGCCACCAUCAUUACUGGUGAGGAUGGAUCACAUACUUGAUUUUAAAGUCCUCAUCAUUCUCAUUUGAGCAGACUAAAUCUCUUAGAAAGUCCACCAAACUUUUUAUUUCAUUUGAUAGCAAUUCACUGGACAGUGCUAUUUGCUAAGAGGACCUUAUCUAAAUGGGUACCCAAGUAUAUCUUCUGUUAUGCUCUCCUUAGCAUGAAGCUGCAAGGUUGUAUCAAUGUGCACUCAGAUAGAGGCAAACCUGCCACAACUAGCUAUAUCAUACUUGUCUUCUCUGAGUUCAUCAGCAAAGGAGCAAUAUGGUCAUCCUGCCAUGUGCUCCUACAGCCUUAUUGCUUGGUUGUGUUGAGAAGCCCACCUUGGACUCUCUGCAUUCCAGAACUUAGUUCUAAAGUCGGGGAUAAGCCCAAUUCUACCUGCAGAGAAGGUGUUCAUUUGUUUUGGGGAUGUGGAAGUCCCUUAUUUUAUGCGGGGCAAAGAUUUUUUCAAGUCAAAGUUGAUUUUUCCCCCCUGUUCACAGUUACUAUUCAGACUAAAAAGUCUCCCUGGUAUUGGUCAGGUAUCUUAUUCUUCCCUAUACCAUGUUUAAUAUUACAACCACUACCAAGUUCCCAUAUCACUUUUAGCACUGCAGUCUUUUCUUCUUUCAGCUUAUCCUCAAGCUUCUUAAUCUUCAAGAAUGAGAAUCCUAUGGAGAACAUAUCUUUAAAGAAGGGGAUAUUGUUGGGACGGUCCCAAAGUGGUAUGACCAUACUGAAUGAAUGGUGUGAGCAUAACCUGACAUGACUUAAACAUGGCCGAAUGGCAGCCAUGGAACAGGUUCCCAUUAAGCAGAAGCAGAUUUGAUAAAGGACUGGCAAAUUCUGUAUGUACGAUCAAUAUUGAACCUAUUGGUAGGCAAAUAUGGGCCCAUGCAAAAGUAAAUAUCACAUAUAUAAAGUUCCAGUAUGAAGCACAGGUUGUCCUUACAGCAAGGACAUCACACAGAGAGCCAGAGCGAAUGACUGAUGAGUGAGUAAACAUGGGGUGAUUUUCGUUCGGUACCACCCAUCCCCUCCUAAAAUAGUAAUUAGGUGAAAAUUAGUAACUACACGCCCACUGGGCAUGCUUUUAAGACCUGUGACUCCUUUGAGGAAAAAGAGUAUAAGAAUCAAGCAAAAUAAAUUACUGUUGGUUGGGAUUCCUUCACUGACACUUGAAGAAGCAAUGCUGCCAGACAGAGUAGCCAAAACUCUGCUCCGUGGGCUCAAGUAGGACUGUGAACCAGAUGGGUCUCAAGGCAACCAAAGCCUUGACUCGAGGGAAUCCGAGACAGACCAGAGGGCUGAGAAGUACAGACCAGGAGGGAAGAAGCCAUCUAUAAAAUUGCAAGAAAACUCCAAGGAGUUUUCAAGAGCUUGUCACAGGGUUCACUCACCACAUGGGGUGACUCCUCCUGGCCGCUCUGGGGCUUAGCUCCACUCACCUCUGACCCGUCCCAUCUGUCACUCAUUCAUGCACCUCACUGCUUCUCUCUCCCCCUCUGCAACUCAGGGUGCUCUCUCUUCAUGACUUGGUCUCCAGGCAGGUCACUAUAGUCCUCCUCUUCUGGGUAUCAAAGUCCCACUAGAUGGCUGUAUUAGGCAGUCUUCUGCUCAACUGCCUGGUCUGUGCCACUUCCCCCGUGGUCGGUAGGGGAACAUGGGCUUGGGCAUCACUCCAGGUUCUAGCCCAGGGACCCUAUAAUCAGCAGUCAAGGUCUGCACUGCCCCAAACCUUGCAACUGUUUCCUUGGGCUGCUCCUACAUCACCUCUAUCAGGCUCUUCCUCCACCCUCCUCUGGGUACACCCUUUCCUCCAGGCCAGAACCCCAGUGUUACCCACACAAAUUUAGAGCCCUCUCCUCCCCCUCUGGGUGCAAUGUCCCCCUACGGCUUAAUGGGACCUUUUCCCAAUGAAAGAGCCUUUACAUAAUAAAUAUCCUUAACUUACAUUUAUUAGCAUUUAAUAGUAUACACACGCCAAGCAUCUAAUGCUCACCACUCCUAAAAAUGCAGACAGAUGUUUCCUGAUGGCCAGUCAGGAUCAGAUUUCAUCUGGGGCUCUUGCUGCUCUAUGGUAUGGUCAUGCAGGUUGUAAGAGUUCCAGCAGCUUUGGUCUUAAGGAGUGUCCCAGAGUUAGGUUCCAACUGGCUUCUCUUCUAACCCGCAUUACAUAGGUAAAAUGAGAGUCUCUUAUCUAUACCCAAACCAAUUAGUUUACUUAAAGUAUGACUAUGCAAUAAAUUUAACCAAUCAGAACUC